rfam:Cryptosporidium ubiquitum isolate 39726 contig_12, whole genome shotgun sequence.
UACCAGGCGUCACUAGACGCCACAUUUUUUGUUAAUUAUGUUAAAU